rnacentral:rRNA from 1 species
UACGUAGGGGGCAAGCGUUGUCCGGAAUCAUUGGGCGUAAAGAGCGUGUAGGCGGCUCGAUAAGUCUGCUGUGAAAGUCCAGGGCUCAACCCUGGAAGGCCGGUGGAAACUGUCGGGCUAGAGUCCGGAAGAGGCGAGUGGAAUUCCCGGUGUAGCGGUGAAAUGCGCAGAUAUCAGGAGGAACACCUAUUGCGAAGGCAGCUCGCUGGGACGUUACUGACGCUGAGACGCGAAAGCGUGGGGAGCAAACAGG